UACGGAGGGGGCUAGCGUUGUUCGGAAUUACUGGGCGUAAAGCGCACGUAGGCGGCCACUUAAGUCAGAGGUGAAAGCCCAGGGCUCAACCUUGGAAUUGCCUUUGAAACUAGGUGGCUUGAACAUAGGAGAGGCGAGUGGAAUUCCGAGUGUAGAGGUGAAAUUCGUGGAUAUUCGGAAGAACACCAGUGGCGAAGGCGACUCGCUGGACUAUUGUUGACGCUGAGGUGCGAAAGCGUGGGGAGCAAACACG
rnacentral:rRNA from 1 species